rnacentral:rRNA from 1 species
GUGUCAGCAGCCGCGGUAAUACGGAGGGGGUUAGCGUUGUUCGGAAUUACUGGGCGUAAAGCGCACGUAGGCGGAUCAGAAAGUUGGGGGUGAAAUCCCGGGGCUCAACCCCGGAACUGCCUCCAAAACUUCUGGUCUGGAGUUCGAGAGAGGUGAGUGGAAUUCCGAGUGUAGAGGUGAAAUUCGUAGAUAUUCGGAGGAACACCAGUGGCGAAGGCGGCUCACUGGCUCGAUACUGACGCUGAGGUGCGAAAGUGUGGGGAGCAAACAGGAUUAGAUACCCUGGUAGUCCACACCGUAAACGAUGAAUGCCAGUCGUCGGCGCGCAUGCGUGUCGGUGACACACCUAACGGAUUAAGCAUUCCGCCUGGGGAGUACGGUCGCAAGAUUAAAACUCAAAUGAAUUGGCGGGG